GAUUCCGUAGUGUAGUGGUUAUCACGUGUGCAUAACACGCACAAGGUCCCCGGUUCAAGCCCGGGUGGAAUCA
rnacentral:tRNA from 1 species